ensembl:lncRNA
GUGGAGAAGGCAAUGGCACCCCACUCCAGUACUCUUGCCUGGAAAAUCCCAUGGGUGGAGGAGCCUGGUAGGCUGCAGUCAGUCCAUGGGGUCGCUAAGAGUCGAACACGACUGAGCGACUUCCCUUUCACUCUUCACUUUCAUGCAUUGGAGAAGGAAAUGGCAACCCACUCCAGUAUUCUUUUCUGGAGAAUCCCAGUGACGAGGGAGCCUGAUGGGCUGCCCUCUAUGGGGUCGCACAGAGUCGGGCACGACUGACUGAGCAGCAGUAGCAGCAGAAGUUGACGAUUUGAUCUCUGGUUCCUCUGGCUUUGCUAAAUCCAGCUUGAACAUCUGGAAGCUCACAGUUCACAUACUGUUGAAGCCUGGCUUGGAGAAUUUUGAGCAUUACUUUGCUAAUGUGUGAGAUGUGUGCAAUUGUGUGGUAGUUUGAGCAUUCUUUGGCAUUGCCUUUCUUUGGGAUUGGAAGGAAAUCUGACCUCUUCUAGUCCUGUGGCCACUGCUGAGGUUUCCAAAUUUGCUAGCAUAUUGGGAACAGCACUUUCAGAGCAUCAUCAUUUAGGAUUUCAAACAGCUCAGUUGGAAUUCCAUCACCUCCAUUAGCUUUGUUUGUAGCAAUGCUUCCUAAGGCCCACUUGACUUCGCAUUCCAGGAUGUCUGGCUCUAGGUGGAUGCUGAUAGAAGCCCUAAUUAUGAUUGAAACCAGCAACACAGCCAAAGCCUUCAUCAUGGGCAGGAGGUACCUCAUGUGGCUCAUAACUUCACCUUGUUGGGAUAUCUGUAUCCUAAGGAAGAGCGUAGCUUCAGCCUGAAAAGCCCAGGUCUAGAAGUCAAUCACUUUGACUGUAACAUUAAUGAUGGAUAAAGUCUCCUAAUCCAAAGCUUCGUAAAGAUAAGGAGGUCUGGAGUUUGAACCUAUAACAAGCUUUCCUGAUUGGUGUAUGGCUGACGGUAUUGGAAACAACUGCUGUAGAAGGUAGCUGAAAACCUGGCAUAGAGUAGCCAUGUCUUGGGUGAUAAGAGAUACUUCAUACGUGCCUGAACAGACUCAUGUGCAAGUACAAAACCCUGACCCUAGAAUGAAAGUAUGUGCUCUCCUUGAGUCUGGGUGUUAGUGAUGUGAUUAAAAUUGAGGGCAAUCUAAGGGUUGUACAGAGUCUUAAGAGGGUGAAUUUAGACAACUCACCUAAGGAACAACUUCUAUUACUAACACUGGCUGUGAAGUGACAGUUUAGCAGGCUUAGCUAAUGAGACAGAGCCCUGUGGGCCAUGAGUGUAGAAGAUUUGCUCAGGGCUAGAUAUCAGGCUUCUGUGCUUCCUCUUUGGUUCAUUUGACAUACUGUGAGUAGUCUAGGAUAGUUUAUUAGGAAACUAUUUGGGGGACAUCUAUAUUCUCAUUCAAAACUCGGGAUAGUCCCAGAUACUUUUUCCCCCCUUUUUGGAGUCCAAUGACAGUGUGACAAAGCUACCUCUAGAAGUCCCUGAUCACUGGGUCCUGUACAGGUCCCAAGUGAGGUUGUACUAGAAUGUUCACCCUGGUAGUGCUUAGACAGAAUAGCAUGCCCAAGCUUCAGCUAUCCUUAUGCAAUUCCUCUCAACUAUUCUGAGUUGUCAUAAUAGUUCUGAAUAUCAGCAUGUAAUUCCAUGCACCAUCUCUCUGCCAGGAGAACCUUGGGCAGUCCCAUAAUCUUCAGUCUCAGAUGGCUUCUGCUAUAUAAACUGUCCAUUUCCCAAUCCUCAAUUUUCUUCUUGUUGGUGCUCACUAAUGUGGAGCUUAGGCACAUCCCCUUGUUGGUUGUUCCUAAAAUCUUUGCUUCCUAACUUUUAUCCCCUCCAGUCCAUGAGUCCUAGGGUUCUCCCAACUUGUGGUGGCAGCUAUUAGUAGACUCUGGCUUUCUCUUCUCCAAAAAUAUUAAACACUAUUUUAUCUUCCCUGUACUCCUAAAUACAGUUUAUACCUCAAACU